AGCUUUAAUUAUAUUUGUAUAUUCACUUGUCUCUCUCACACGUAUUCUCCUUGUUGAUUAUCUUGCCAUGAGCUCCAUUGUCUCCUUUAUCCCCUCCUUCCAUCGUCUCACUUGUCAAGCUGUGCCCACUAAGAAGAUAGUGCUUUGAGAUGGCUCAAAUCCUAGGUCGCCAUCUUCAUCUGUUCAUGCUCCUGACAGUUCUCAUUCUCCAGAUCGCCAUGGCAGCAGGGCAAAACACGUCCACUGAGGCAAAAAGUUUUACGUUAGUUAAUAACUGCAACGAUACAGUAUGGCCUGGAAUCCUAACAAGAGGUAACAAUAGCAAUGGCUAUGGUUUUGCUCUACAACAAGGCCAAACCGCCUUCUACAGCGCCACGGCCGGAUGGAGUGGCCGGAUGUGGGCACGAACCGGUUGCAGUUUUGAUAAAAACGGCACUGGAACUUGUCAAACAGGUAGCUGCGGCACCUCUAUAAACUGCACAGUCCCGAGUAAACCACCCAACACCAUUGCCGAGUUCACUCUUGGUGAUGUUGAUUUCUACGAUGUUAGCCUUGUCGAUGGAUUUAAUUUGCCUAUAGUAAUUUCUCCUAUUGAUGGCAAGGGAAAUUGUAGCAUUGCUGGUUGCGAUGGGGACCUCCGACAAAAUUGCUCGUCCGGACUGGCUGUUAAGUCCGACGGGAAGGUCAUUGCUUGCCGGAGCGCAUGUGAUGCUUUCAACACCGACGAAUACUGUUGUAGAGGAGCAUAUGCCGAUCCUGUAGCAUGUCUGCCAACCAACUUUUCCAGGAGUUUUAAACAAGUCUGUCCUGCAGCAGCUAGCUAUGCAUUUGAUGACAGUAUAAGCAUCAUAACAUGCUCUGCCUCAGAAUACAUUGUCACCUUCUGUGCCUCAAGGAAUCAAAAGGUGUGCUCUUAUCAUGAUAACAAGCUUGUCUGCAACACAUCGAAUGGUUCAAAAGCAUCUCCCCUUGGCCUAGGAGGAUGGAUUGUGGUGUUGGCACUGCCUUUGACAUAUAAUUUGAAGAUGAAAUUCUAUCACAGCUGACAUUAAUGCUCCCCUUCUCUCGAGAACGUCCUCUCCUUUGUAAAUCAAGAAACUUUUCCUGAUGCCUUGUUUUUUGCAGCAUGUUUGAAACUCUCUGGAUUGAAUUCUAUUCAGAUAUUUUAGUCAAAUCAUGAGCCCAUAACCAGUCAGAUACAAAAAGAAGAUUGGAAGUAACAGAUUCUCAAUACAGUAACAUGCUGACAACAUGAAAUGAUCAAAAGCUUCUGCUUAGCAAAGCUAGUUCAACUAAACCAAUAUAAAUUUUCAGGGCUGGAGUGAAUUCUCCAUGUUAAUAGCAAAACAAUAAGUUCUUGGUGUUACCUGCUAAAUUGCUCCAUGGAUACAAUAGCUGGGAGAGAUAUAAUCCCAUAUGUGGUGGUGCUACCAUGAAUAGCCUGUUCUGCCAUAAAUAUUUCCUCAAGCUGUUGAGCAUCAAAUGUAGCUCCAACAUCAGGCUGCUGCUGCUUCUUCCCACAAUGAUCACCAAAUGGAAGUGACCUCGUCCAAGAAAUCUUGGGUUUUAGAAGCCCAUGAACUCACUCUUUCUUGCACUGCAUCUGUCACCACAUCACAUCACAUCACAUCACAUCACACAAACAUGCAGACUUGCUGAAUCCUACUUUGCCACUACCUACUGUUGCUCACUUGGAUCAAUGCCAUUGAGCUUCCAUUUGUCUCCUUCAAACUGACUCGCAACCUUAAACCUGCAGCUU